rnacentral:rRNA from 1 species
UACGAAGGGGGCUAGCGUUGUUCGGAAUCCCUGGGCGUAAAGCGCACGUAGGCGGAUUGUUAAGUCGGGGGUGAAAUCCUGAGGCUCAACCUCAGAACUGCCUUCGAUACUGGCGAUCUUGAGUCCGGAAGAGGUUGGUGGAACAGCUAGUGUAGAGGUGAAAUUCGUAGAUAUUAGCUAGAACACCAGUGGCGAAGGCGGCCAACUGGUCCGGAACUGACGCUGAGGUGCAAAAGCGUGGGGAGCAAACAGG